AGAGCGAACGCUGGCGGCAGGCCUAAUACAUGCAAGUCGAACGGAUCCUUCGGGAUUAGUGGCGGACGGGUGAGUAACACGUGGGAACGUGCCCUUUGGUUCGGAACAACUCAGGGAAACUUGAGCUAAUACCGAAUGUGCCCUUCGGGGGAAAGAUUUAUCGCCAUUGGAGCGGCCCGCGUCUGAUUAGCUAGUUGGUGAGGUAAAGGCCCACCAAGGCUACGAUCAGUAGCUGGUCUGAGAGGAUGAUCAGCCACACUGGGACUGAGACACGGCCCAGACUCCUACGGGAGGCAGCAGUAGGGAAUCUUGCGCAAUGGGCGAAAGCCUGACGCAGCCAUGCCGCGUGAAUGAUGAAGGUCUUAGGAUUGUAAAAUUCUUUCAGCGGGGACGAUAAUGACGGUACCGCAGAAGAGCCCCGGCUAACUUCGCGCCAGCAGCCGC
rnacentral:rRNA from 1 species